rnacentral:tRNA from 1 species
GUGGUUUUAGUUUAAUUAAAAUGGUGAUUUGUCUAGUCAUAGAUGGUAAUUUUGGUAACCAAGCCACU